GGGCAACCCAUAUAGAAA
rnacentral:tRNA from 1 species